rnacentral:rRNA from 1 species
GACGUAGGGGGCCAGCGUUGUUCGGAAUUACUGGGUGUAAAGGGUUCGUAGGCGGUGUGGCAAGUCGGGAGUGAAAUUUCUGGGCUUAACUCAGAACCUGCUUCCGAAACUGCUGUGCUGGAGUGUGGGAGAGGCGCGUGGAAUUGCAGGUGUAGCGGUGAAAUGCGUAGAUAUCUGCAGGAACACCCGUGGCGAAAGCGGCGCGCUGGACCACUACUGACGCUGAGGAACGAAAGCUAGGGGAGCAAACAGG